AAUAGAUACCCGGGUAGUCCACGCCGUAAACGAUGAAUACUAGGUGUAGGGGUUGUCAUGACCUCUGUGCCGCAGUUAACACAAUAAGUAUUCCGCCUGGGGAGUACGGUCGCAAGAUUAAAACUCAAAGGAAUUGACGGGGGGCCCGCACAAGCAGCGGAGCAUGUGGUUUAAUUCGAAGCAACGCGAAGAACCUUACCUAGACUUGACAUCUCCUGAAUUACUCGUAAUAGAGGAAGCCCUUCGGGGCAGGAAGACAGGUGGUGCAUGGUUGUCGUCAGCUCGUGUCGUGAGAUGUUGGGUUAAGUCCCGCAACGAGCGCAACCCUUGUCGUUAGUUGCUACCAUUAAGUUGAGCACUCUAGCGAGACUGCCGCGGUUAACGCGGAGGAAGGUGGGGAUGACGUCAAAGUCAUCAUGCCCCUUAUGUCUAGGGCUACACACGUGCUACAAUGGUGAGUACAACGAGAACCGAGACCGCGAGGUGGAGGAAAACUCAAAAACUCAUCCCAGUUCGGAUUGCAGGCUGCAACUCG
rnacentral:rRNA from 1 species